GUUGGUUAGAAUGCUGGCCUGUCACGCCGGAGGUCGCGGGUUCGAGUCCCGUCCGCUCCG
rfam:Triticum urartu cultivar G1812 contig1344943, whole genome shotgun sequence.